rnacentral:rRNA from 1 species
CCUACGGGCGACUGCAGUGGGGAAUAUUGCACAAUGGGGGAAACCCUGAUGCAGCGACGCCGCGUGAGUGAUGAAGGAUUUCGGUAUGUAAAGCUCUAUCAGCAGGGAAGAUAAUGACGGUACCUGACUAAGAAGCUCCGGCUAAAUACGUGCCAGCAGCCGCGGUAAAACGUAUGGAGCAAGCGUUAUCCGGAUUUACUGGGGGUAAAGGGAGCGGAGACGGCAGGGCAAGUCUGAUGUGAAAGUCCGGGGCUCAACCCCGGGACUGCAUUUGAAACUGUCCGGCUGGAGUGCAGGAGAGGUAAGUGGAAUUCCUAGUGUAGCGGUGAAAUGCGUAGAUAUCAGGAGGAACACCAGUGGCGAAGGCGGCUUCCUGGACUGUAACUGACGUUGAGGCUCGAAAGCGUGGGGAGCAAACAGGAUUAGAUACCCGAGUAGUC